rnacentral:tRNA from 3 species
GUCCAUGUAGCUUACAGCAAAGCAUGACACUGAAGAUGUCAAGACGGCUGCCACAAACACCCAUGGACA